rnacentral:lncRNA from 1 species
AGAUGCAAUCAAGUCAGAGCUCGACUGGAGAGGAUGGUGCAGAAUCAUCACAACAGUAGCCUCAGCCAUCCAUGAUGCAUGUAUGAAAAGAAAUAGUUAAAGUGAACAAGGGGCAGAUUUAUGAACUGUGAUCACAGGCUAGCUUGUUGACAGGCUAGCUUGUUGACAGGCUCCUCAUCUUCUGGCCGCACAUCCUCAUGAGUCAUUGAGGAGUGGAUUCAGGAGCAAGAGAAGAUUUAUAAUAUGUUUGAAACCGUAUAUGCUCGAAAUGAGAAGUUAGCUACUCAUAACAAUCAAUUAGCAAUCCAGAAUAGUGAAUUAGUCAUCCAAAAUAGUGACUUAGCUACUCGUGUUUCUCGUACGGAGGAAUUCAUGCGCCUUAUGAUGGAGAAGAUGUAGAUGUUUCCAGCACCACCUCCAACUGCUACUUCUGCAAAUGAUGAUAAUUGUGAUGACGACGAUGAUGAUGAUCAGGAGAAGGAUGAUCAUUUAUGAUUUUUUUUUAUUAUGAUUGGAAUGAUGAUACUUGUG